ensembl:lncRNA
UUCCGGCACACGCAGUACACCGGGGCGUUCUCCUCCCCCCCCGCCCCCACCUCCGCGUCCGAGAACUCGCUGUCCUGUGGGGGGCGGCAAUGGGGUCGGGGGGGUGAGGUUGUUGUGGGGUGCGGGGGAUUUUAGGUGUCGUGGGAACGCGGCCGCUCUCACCAUCGCCGCCCGCUUCCCACUCCCGGACCCUUCCGCUCUCGGCCGGAAGCGAGGAUGGAGAGGACUUCCGCUUCCGGUGAAAGAGCACGCCGGAAGUGGGGGGGAGGGAGAAAGAGAGAGCAAGAAGCGGCUUCCGCUUCCGAGAGAGGAAGUGGAGGUGUGGGGGGGGGAGGGCAAGAUGGCGGCGGCGCAUGCGCAGUGUGUGUGGGGAAAUGGCGGCGGCCGUUGGGGGCGGCCGGGUUGGGGGACGAGGGGACACGGGGACAUGAGGAUGUGGGGACAUUGGGAUAUGGGGACAUGAGGACACUGGGAUAUGGGGAUAUGGGGACGUGGGGACAUUGGGAUAUGGGGACAUGGGGAUGUGGGGGCACUGGGACAUUGUGAUGUGGGGACAUGGGGACACUGGGAUAUGGGGACAUGGGGAUGUGGGGACAUUGGGACAUCGGGACAUUGGGACAUGGGGACAUUGGGAUAUGAGGACAUGGGGACACGGGGACAUGGGGACACUGGGAUAUGGGGACAUGAGGACGUGGGCAGAUCACUGGGGAAUAGGGGCCAUGAAGCUGUGGGGUUAUGAAGCUGUGGGGCUGGGGGUCUUGGGGCCGUGGGGCCAGGCGGCGCCGCGCUGUGACACAGAAGAGCCAAGGGACACUGAGACAGCACAGCAUGUCAUUGAGCAACACCGCGACAACACUGCGACAACACCGCGACAACACGACAACAAGGUGGCGCUGCUGCCCCAGGCACAGCUGGCGGCGCCUGCGGGGUCAGAGGUCAGAGCUCGGGGUCAGGGGUCAAAGGUCAGCGACUGGGGUCAGGGGUCAAGGGUAAGCACUCGGGGUCAGGGGUCAAGAUUCAGCACUCGGGGUCAGGGGUCAAGAGCAACCAGUUGGGGUCAGGGGUCAAGGGUCAGCUGCAUGGAGGGUCAGGGGUCAAGAGUCAGCGCCUGGGGUCAGUGCUUAAGGGUAAGCAGUUCGGGUCAGGGUUCAAGAGUCAGAGGUUGGGUCAGGGGUCAGCAGUCAGGGUCAGGGUUCAAGGGUCAGCUGCUGGGGGUCAAGGAUCAAGGGUAAACAGUUGAGGUCAGGGGUCAAAGGUCAGGAGCUGGGAGUCAGGGGUCAACGGUAAGCACUUGGGGGUCAGGGGUCAAGGGUCAGCGGCUGGGGUCAGGGGUCAAGAGUAAGCAGUUGGGGUCAGAGGUCAAGGGCAACCGGUUGGGGUCAAGGGUCAGAAGCUGGGGGUCAGGGGUCAAGGGUCAGUAGUUGGGGUCAGGCCUCAGAGAUAACCCUUUGGGUCAGAGGUCAGCGGUUGAUCAGAGGUUGGGGGUCAGAGGUCCAGGGUUGGGGGUCAGAGGUCAGCAGUUGGGGGUCAGAGGUCAGUGCUUGGUGUCCACACUGAGAGGUAAGCGCUGGAGGGGUCAGAGGUCAGCAGUUGGGGUCAGAGGUCAGGAGAUCAUAGGUCAGCAGUUGGGGGUCAGAGGUUGGGGGUCAGGGGUCAGAACCAGAGGGGUCAGGGGCCAGAGCUUGGGUCAGAGGGCAGAGCUCAGCGCUUGGGGUCAGGAAUCAGAGGUCAGCACUGGGGUCUGAGAUCAGCAGUUGGGGGUCAGGGGUCAGCAGCUGGGGUCGGAGGUCAGUACUGAGGUCAGAGGUCAGCAGUUGGGGGCCAGAGGUCAGAGGUUGGGGUCAGAGGUCAGCAACUGGGGGUCAGGAGACAGAGGUCAGCACUGGGGUCAGAGGUUAGCGGUUGGGGUCAGUGGUUGGGGUCAGGGGUCAGCAGCUGGGGGUCAGAGGUCAGCAGUUGGGGGUCAGGGGUCAGAGGUUGGGGACAGAGGUCAGAGGUCGCUGCCCCCCCCACUGACCUUUGUCCUUCAGCCUCCACCUCCUGCCAGCGUGACCGUGCCACGCGCAGCACCUCUGUGGGGUGACACCAAGGUGACAUGGGGGGACAUGGGGGAGUGACACAGGGUGACAAAGGGUGAAACAGGGGUGGCACGGGGUGACAAAGGGUGACAAAUAGUAAGACGGUGACACAGGGGAGUGACACAGAGUGACACAAGGUGACAAGGGGUGACGG